GACGAACGCUGGCGGCGUGCUUAACACAUGCAAGUCGAACGGAAAGGCCCUGCUUUUGUGGGGUGCUCGAGUGGCGAACGGGUGAGUAACACGUGAGUAACCUGCCCUUGACUUUGGGAUAACUUCAGGAAACUGGGGCUAAUACCGGGUAGGAGCUCCUGCUGCAUGGUGGGGGUUGGAAAGUUUCGGCGGUUGGGGAUGGACUCGCGGCUUAUCAGCUUGUUGGUGGGGUAGUGGCUUACCAAGGCUUUGACGGGUAGCCGGCCUGAGAGGGUGACCGGCCACAUUGGGACUGAGAUACGGCCCAGACUCCUACGGGAGGCAGCAGUGGGGAAUAUUGCACAAUGGGCGGAAGCCUGAUGCAGCAACGCCGCGUGCGGGAUGACGGCCUUCGGAUUGUAAACCGCUUUCGCCUGUGACGAAGCGUGAGUGACGGUAAUGGGUAAAGAAGCACCGGCUAACUACGUG
rnacentral:rRNA from 1 species